rnacentral:tRNA from 1 species
GUGCCCGUAGCGAUCAGUGGUAGAUCGGGCGGCUGUGACCCGCCAGGCGGAGGUUCGAUUCCUCCCGGGCACUCCA